CUCAGUGUUAGGGACCCCGCCCUCGCGGUGGAGACCCGGCCCGCCUGCUCUGGCCCACGGCUCGUGAUGGUCCGGAUCUCUGCGCGCCCCUAGUCGCCGGCCGCUGCCUGAUUCCCUGAGCGCCAGGCAUGAAUCGCAAGAAGCUGCAGAAGUUGACGGAAACCUUAACUAAAAAUUGCAAGCACUUUGAUAAAUUUGAAGUGAAAUGUCUUAUAAACCUUUUCUAUACCUUGGUGGGAGAUGUAACAGAGCGGCAAGGUGUGGUCAUUGGACUAGAUCGUAAUGCAUUUCGAAACAUCCUGCACGUGACAUUUGGAAUGACAGAUGACAUGAUUAUGGACAGAGUAUUCCGAGGAUUUGAUAAAGACAACGAUGGUUGUGUAAACGUAUCAGAGUGGAUUUAUGGAUUAUCACUGUUUCUUCGAGGAACUUUGGAAGAAAAAAUGAAAUAUUGCUUUGAAGUGUUUGAUUUGAAUGGUGAUGGAUUCAUUUCAAAGGAGGAAAUGUUCCACAUGUUGAAGAACAGCCUUCUCAAACAGCCAUCUGAAGAAGACCCUGAUGAAGGAAUUAAAGAUUUGGUUGAAAUAACACUUAAGAAGAUGGACCAUGACCAUGAUGGGAAGCUGUCUUUCGCAGACUAUGAACAAGCUGUGAGAGAAGAGACUCUUCUACUGGAAGCUUUUGGACCAUGUCUACCUGAUCCAAAGAGCCGGAUGGAAUUUGAAACCCAAGUAUUCAAAGAUCCAAAUGAAUUCAAUGAUAUGUGAAUACCUAAGUGUCUGUGUUGUCUCAAACAAUCAAAUGGCAGAUGUAAGAGUGACAGCCUCCCUUUGCAGAGUCUAUUGAGAAGUCAGUGGAGUGGAGGAGAUCUCUUCCCGGGCAGAGCAGGAUGUGGAGCAGGCCAGGGCCUGCACACCCAGCACGAGGUGACUGGAUUCUGGCCACCCCGUGCCUCCCCCUCUCAUUCUUGGCCUGCCUCAGUCCACCUGAGGCAUGCAGGCGGCUGCUCCAACCACAUGCCCUGUCAGGACCUGUUGCUUUGUGAGGAAGAAUGCAAGAAUAUCAAAUCCCUUCAAAUGCUGAAAGGGAGAGUCCUGCUUUGUGGAGGUAUGGGGGUGUGAAUAGUUAUAGUACAGAAUCAGAAUAUAGAACAAUUAAAGAAUGGACCCCAGGACCCAGAAUAAGAGAGAGAGAGAACUGAGUCUUUUUGCUCCUUGAGUGCAUGAAACCAGAGGUAGCGGAAGUCCUCUGUCUCCUAGCUCCUGGUGAGUAGGUGUAGCACCGCCCCCACCCCCACCCCAGCAAGGCUGCUGCUGCCUUUCUGAGCUGGAGGGCCCCAAGACCUGAGAUUUGCCCAACCACCAGCACCCACAACUGCAUCCCCCAAACGAGCAAACACACGUUCUGGUAAGGCCACUAGGCAAGAACUCCUAAGCACCUUGCCAGGAGAUGGGGUGCCCUCCUUCAGAACCCAUCUGGACACACAGCACCACCUAGAAGCCUUUGUAUAUGCCCAGAGGGGCAGCACAGUUAGGGUUAGGGGUGAGCUCUGCAACCAGGCAGGACAGGAGUACUGCUCUCACUGUCUGCAGCGUGGCCCCAGACAGGUGCCUUGACCACUCUGCAUGCCUCACUUUAACAACUGCCAUGUGCAGCCCUCAGAGUAUCUGCCACAUGGGGUUGUGAAGACUUGAGUAAGUGCCUAGAUAGAAAGCAGUUAGAGUGGUGCCUGGCACAUAGUAGUAGAUUCUUAGUAAAUGUUAGCUCUUACCACUAUUACAUGCAGAUGACUUAUCAUGCAAAUAUUUGUAUGCUUUGGCUGCAUUUCAGGGACUUUGAACCUGUCUUCUCAUUCAGUGUCACAUCCUCAAGAAUAGCUGUGAUAUUGGUUGCUCCUUGGGUCAUCCCUACAGCAUUCAAAUGGCAUUCAUAAGUGCCCCUGACUUCCAGCCUGCUGCAGCUCCUCAGCAGGACUGGAAUUCCUCCAGGAUCUAUGUCCUAAAUGGGCAUGCCCAGAAGGAGCCAAGGCAGGAGCAGUUCAGCUGCCGUGAGGAGGUGAUUAAGAGAGUCCUCAUUAUAUGCGGCAAAAAUAUCUUCCCUGCAAAAAUGCUCAGCUAGGAAUGCAAUGGUUUACUUUCAUAGGAUGCUGACUCUUGGUCAACUUGGAAUCCCUGUUGGUUGAGCAUCCAGCGGCUUUCUCCUUAUAAAAAUAGUGUCCUAGAAGUGCGCAAGUUACUUCGAAAGAACCCUUUCUUAGACCUGUUAUUAACCACCAAAUUGUAAUCCAUUGCUAUGUGAGUUUUAGAGUGUUUUGUUAUCUGGGCUUAAUUUAAGCUAUGGUUGUGUAUUUGUGCAUGUGAGUAUGUGUACAUACACAUACGUGAACUCACACUUACACCCAGUGGGACUUUCUCCUCUCCAAUUUCUGUCUUCACUCCUCAGCUCCACCUGUUUUUGCACUUACUUGCAUGUCUUGCCUAUGAAGCCUCCAGAUGUGUGCACAUGAUCUUCUGCUCCUACAUGAAGGAGAUGACCUCUCUUUCAUUGUUGACUAUUUCUAGUCCCUACACAGAAGACUAUGGGAAAAUAGAAACCAUGUGGGCUCAGAUAAUAAAGGAGAGCUGGACACAGUCUUGGGAUCACAGGUAACAGAUAGGCCUCUGGGUCUUUGAAUGCAACCUUCAGCCCAAAGGCUGCCCCUGAGCACUGCCUCCUUACGCCAGUCUGCAGGAGCAGCACUCUGCCCAUUUAUGAAGGCAGCAGGCACAGGAGAGUAAGCUGGCACAUGCCGACUGCCGAGAGGAUGGAAGAGUAAACCCUGAGUCAGCUAGGCCACACAGACUCUACAUGGUCAUACUAAGUUGGUUCCUUAAUUUUCUCCACUGGGAAGAACACAUAACCUCGAAAAAUAUAAACAGUUGAAGUAAGUGCUGAUAUGAUAUGGCCCACAAUAGUAAUCACUAUAGGAGCCCGUAUAGAAGCUCAUAUAGCUGUCGUUUCAUGGAUAACAUCAAGCUAGAUAAAUGUGAGGGAAAGAGGGAGGUAGAUAGGGAAAGUAAAGAAAAAGAAAAAAGAGAAGAGGCAAGAGGGGAAAAAUUAAAUGCUGAGAAAGAGGAAGAAGAGCAUGAACUUCACCCUUGUCUCGAGAUGGCCAGGUGUGUCGUACAGCAAAAUAAAGAGCUGUGUUUACCUUCUCUUUAGGAAAACACCACUUCUGAUGGAUAUGAAGGGGGAAGUAGCUGAGCACAGGCUCAAGGAAUAAUAAACAAAUCAAGACUUCAGGCUCUAUGGGGAGCAGGAAAGGGCUGCCUUGCUCACAGUAGUGUCCCUGUGCAUCCCAUUCUUGUGGCCCAUGGCCAAGCCUGACAAAUCUGAGGGUAGAGUAGGAUGAUAAAGAGCUCUUAGGAUUGGACUACAUGCUUUCAGGCUCACCUUUUCCCUCUGGUUAUGACAUAAAUAACAAGUAGCUGGGGGAAGUAAGCAUGGAGUGAGCACCUUGACCUCAGAAUGGAAUGAAGGCCACUGUAGGGGUCCAAGAGUAUAGUCCAUGUUUCAGUGGAAGUGAGAGCAUGUACUCAUCCAAGGCAGUUCCCUUCUCUCUGGAAGGUAAAUUUUGGUGUACUGAUGGCACUGUCUGAGAGCACCAACAGUUCAGGGGAAGCUGGCUAGAAUACAGAGUCUCAGGCCCCCAGUCAUGCUGAAUUAGAACUCUCAAUUCACUAGAUCUUACAGUGACACAUAGGUAUAUGUGAGGAGUUCAGCUCUAGAUGGCCUGGAAACCAACCAAGCAUGGCCCUCAGCGUAGUAAAGACUUUACAAUCACAUCACACAUUGCAAAAAGAAAUCACUUAUUUGACCUGGAGAAAUGAAAACUAAGGUUUGAUUUAAUUGCACUGAGUCCUAAAAGAACAACAAAAAAAAAUGGGAGUUGUUUUAAUCCAAAUCCUAACCUAAUUUUACCCAUACUCAAAGAAAUUUAAAAAGAAAAAGGAAAUGGUAUUUAUUGGAGCCAGAAAUAAUUUGGUAAGCCAUAAUAAGGAAGAACAUCUUGAUAGACUGUGAGUCCAGCAAUAGGAUACAUUAUUUCUUUAUUGGAUUAUGAGAAGAUGGCCUAAGUAAGCAGCAGUCCUGGAGAGUUGAGUAGAUCAUGGACUUAUUGACUGGGAAGGAGUAGAACUGAUGUGCUUUUGAGGGCCUGCUAGUAAAUCAAAUAUUUAAAAGAAAUUUUACCUCACUAUGUACAUCAAAUGGAUGAAGUCUCCCUAGUUGCCUUUCACUCAUGUGUCCAUUCACAUACAGAGGCACAUGUACAGAAACAUCAGGAGCAACAUGGGAGUGUGGAGAUGUACCAGAAAUCCCCUUGGUAUGUCAUUAUAUCUUCACGCCAUCACUGACAUCCUUUGGGUGCUGAACAGCAUGGCCCUCAUCCUUAGUAAUUUGUGGCUUGCUUUGUACUCAUGCCGAGAUUUAAUCCCUCAAGAAAAUAUUCCUCCCCCAAGACACACAUCCUCUUGUUGAUCUUCACCUCCCCCUGCCUGUUCAGCCUACACUGCCCCUAUUAUGUGGCCCAGCCACACACAUACACAGAGUACCCUGCCUGAGGGGGUGUCAGGCAAAAGGACAUUUAAAUAAAUAGGUAAAAUAUGGGCUCUUCUUUCUCCCCUUUGCCUGAAGCACACUUUCACAACCUCCCCUCUCUGUGCCACCAACACCCACUAACAGUCUCCACUGCCAAUCACCUGGCAAUAGUUUUCUCCCAGUCCUACACAAAAUGGAGUUUGAAGGAAAUACAUAUGCCUAGGUGAAAAAUUCCAGUAAAGAAGGAAACAAGACUUUUAAAUUCCUGUCAUUGGAGAAUCUUUUGAGUACGUCAAUCACUGUUUUGAUCAAAAAAGUUAGUAGUGCGUGCUUAAUCAUUAAUAGCAAAAUCUUCUCAUUGUUCCAGCACUGAGUAACAAAUCACAAAAGUAAUAUUAUUGAAAACUAUCAAGUCAAAUCCUCAUUAAUGAGUCAGAGAGACAGUUAAUAGAGCUCGAAGGAGUGGGACCAUCUGUGCAUUAGCAGAAAAAUUUACCGCUCCUUCUCUCAUCCAUGCACAUUGCUAAUGGGAUCAUACUGCUACUUAUUUCUUAAUGUAUCUCUCCUUGUCUUUCUGAACAAAUCCAUCCUGUAGAUGUCUCUCAGAGCUGGAAGAAAAUUAUUCAGAUUUUCAGGGUCCAGUAACAAAUAGCAUUUGGUUUUACAAGAAGCUUAUGUGUUGAUUCUGAUAGAAAAGAACAACUAGCCACCUCCUUAAAAGAGCCUUCUAAUCUUAACAAAUCCCUGUUUCCAUGAAUGAUUGGUUUUCUCUCUCUCCCAAGAUCACCCACUGGUUUAUACACAGCUUGAACCCGUAUAUGUCAGAUCAGUUUGCUUCUUGAAAACCAUAAUAAGGAAAAGAAUUCACAACCAACAGACUGAAUGAAGACAGCCGAGGUCUCACCAUGGCCUGUGGCAGGGAGGGAGAGGUAAAAAGUGUGGUGUUUGUCUCUCUCUUUUCAUAGCCAUGUUGUUAUAGACAAUCAAAUGGCGGAUGUAAGAGUGAUAGCCUCCCUUUGCAGAGUCUGUUGAGAAGUCAGUGGAGUGGAGGAGAUCUCUUCCCGGGCAGAGCAGGAUGUGGAGCAGGCCAGGGCCUGCACACCCAGCACGAGGUAUGUGACUGAAAGGCAAGGAGCUGGCCUGCGGCAGGUGCAACGCAGCCAGUGCCCGUCAGCCCCAGGAAAAGAAAACCUGCAGGUGCAGUUGGGACAUGUCCUGAGUCUCCAAAGCCACGCGUUUUUCUGAAUAGUUGUCCUAUCUUCAUUGUCUGCCUGCAAGAUUAUGGUUUGCAGUGGGAGGGGAUGAGAGGGAGGGAGUGGUUUGGUGGAGUCUUCAGUUUUGGCAGCUUUGAUGACACACACAGGCAGCUCCAGAAGUGAGGUGCAGUCCUAGGAGACUGAGACUCUGCACGGGGAGCGGUAGUGGUGGGGAUGGACCCACCAACCCCACACAGCCCCUUGACCCCCUGAGAGGGCUCUCCUGUCUCCAGAGGCCGUCAUGGACACAUGGAGUUUGUUGGCCCCAAUUCAGCACUGCCCUCCUGUCCUCCACACUGGGCAUCUUUUUCCCUCCACCUUCAGCCAUCCUUGGGCAGAGUGACUAGUUAAGCUAGUCUCAACUCAGUGCUCGAAAGCCCCAGGACUUAAAAGUGCUACCCAGAUUGUCUUGGCACAUCCCAGGAACCAACGGGGUCUCAUACACACUGUCAGUACUCAGUAGUUCUGUGUUAAAGGACCUCUCGGCCCCUCUGGGAGGACUCCCCUCUCUCCUGAUAUCUGGGUGCCAUCAAAAACUUAGACUGGGAUCCACCAUUUGAAUCUAACCCUCUACAUUCUCCAAAAGACUUUGAUCCUUAGUGUCUAAUAUUUCUGUCCGUAAUUUCAUGAGAAAAUGGGAGACUCUGUACUAAGCUAAGCUAUCAAAGCUUUAGAAGAUAAAUGUAAAAUUCAACAACAACAUCAUUGUGGUUUAGUCUAUUAAACCACCUCAGUACUAUUACAGGGAAGACAGGGCUUAUGAUCUAAGUCCACAGAGGGGAGCCUGGGGCGUGGCCUCCCACAAGAUGUGGUUACCACUCAAAGUCUCACACCCGCCUGCUGUCACUAUCUAUGUGCUUUUUUUUUUUUUUAAUUUUCUAUUUAUUUGUUUCAUGAGUUUUUUCUUUCUGCCAGAAUGUAAAUCCAUGGAUGCACAGACCUUGCCAAUCUUAUUCACUAUUGACUUCUCUGACCUUGCGUGCAGUAAGCACUCAAUAAAUAUUUCCUGAGUGAGUGCGUGACUCCAUCUCAAGGCAUGCAUUAUUGGAAAACCUCUUUUUCGCAUUGAGUCUCAACAGAGUUUGUGUGCUCAUGGUAGUGUUGUUUUUUGAGAAAGUUGAUAUGAUACCACUCCUGUCCAGUAGUUUCCACACAGACAUCUUUGCCACAUAACUUAUUGGCCAUAAGGCAACUUUGCCAUAAAAGAUAAAAUCAUGAAAAAUUAAAGAGGGGCAUUAAUUAAAAAAGACAUAAUGAAACAUGAAAAAAUGAAUAACAAAAUUAAAAAGACUUUAUAGCAAAAUACAAAAUAUUUGAAAACAUUUAAACUGUGUGCAUGUAGAUUCAUGGUGAUACUGUGCAAAAAAAUGAUUUUAUUUUUGUUUGUGGAUUGUACCUAACUAAGCACUUUUCUUUGUUCUAUGGGAAAUGUAGGUCCAACUCUGGGCCUUCUUUUCUCCUCCAAUGUAGUGCGUUUCAGAGUAAGAAAGCAACUGUUGGGGCAAAUCAUCCUUACCUGGUGGCUUGAUAAAGCCAUCAAUAACUGGAAGAAAUGCUAACUGUUUUAAGACUACCACGUCUACUUGUCACUGUAUUGACCAUUAUAAGGGCUAGCUAAGAUUUAUGUUACUUGAAAAUGCGAGUAACUGUGAGAACUUUGAAUGAAGAAAUGAAACCAAACUGACAAUGAAAACCAAAAACAGUCAACCAGUAAUUUUAUUUUUUGUGGCAAAAUUGUCUUAUGGCCAACUAGUUAUGUGGUGAAAAUGCUUGCAGCAAAGAUAUCUGCAGUAAAACUAUCUGAACUGACACCAUCGUGUAGUCAACAGUAUACAGGGAGGGGCUGACUGAGUUUUCCACAGUCCAGGGCAGCCCCGAUGGCCUGUGUAUGAAAUCAAGAGCAGGAGUCAAUGUUUUUAUUCUACCCAAUAUUUCAAGGGCCUCAGUGACAUCCUGUUCAUUUUGGUCACCAAACAAAAUUGAAAACAGCCCCUUAGAGAACAAAAAGGAGUUAUCCAGGGACACCUGUACACCUGGAAAAGUUACUAGGAUAAAUAUUUCUUUGCCUAGAGAAGAGUAAGAGCGGUUCAAUGCCUUUACUUGAACUCGUACACAUGUAAGUUUCUUACAUGGAAUAGAUCUCCAAAAAUGGAGCAAAAGUAAAUAGACUCCAAUUGAAGUGUAUAGUAAGGUUGUUUUGACUUAAAUAAAGAUUAUUCUAUUGAUAAAACUAAAACAAGCUAUGACACUCUUUAAGAAACUAACAUCAUUGUGAAACGUAAAAAUUAAACUAUAAAAUAUUUUAUUAUUCCUAAGAUGAGCCCCAGCAGGGCUGGGUAACUGAAGGAUUCCUUUAGGAUGAUCAUUCUGUUGAUCUUCAGGCCCUGGGUAAAGUUAAAAUGUUGAGAGUUUCAGAACUCAUAGGUUUUUAACACAUGGCUAGCCACAAAAUCUUAACUUUUAAAAUUAGUGAAUGUGCAGGUCAACAGAAUAAUAAACUACAUGGUAAAAGUUACCCUGACUGAGAAAAAUCUUCCUUCCUUAGCAAGUAUAUGUUACAUUCUUAGAAAUGGACAAUGUCUGUGCCAGUUAGGAGAAGGUGUUAUAGCAAUUUGAUGCUUCUGAAAGGUUGCCCAGAUUCUCAGCACACACUAGAACACUUUAACAAGACAGUGGACUUCUGGAGUUUCUCCAAGUCACUUUUGCCAUGAUGCUCACAUACCUGGCCUGCCCACGUCCUCUCACACCUCCACACCUUUUUCAGAAACAGCCUUCCUUCUACCCUCUCUCGCCUGAAAAACUCCUACUCUCUCUUCACAUCAAAUUUCACCUCCACUAUAAACCUUGCUGGUCCCUGUCAAGCAGUCUGGCUCCUAAGCCCAUUGUCCAGACCUCUCUUACACCAUCAGAUAGCAUUGCACUCAUUUAUCAACUUUGAUUUCACUGAGACCAGGAUUAUAAUUCACCUCAGUGCCCUUGUCUGGCAUAUAAUAAUUCCCCAUUAAAAUGAUGGAUAUAUGAAGAGUGUUCUCAAACUGAACUCAUAGGCUCUAGAGGACUCUAAAAUUUCCCCCAAACAUUCCCAGAAUUCAGAUCUUCUACCCUUGUGAAUGACAAAUGUCUAUGUAGAUAAUCCAUUCUAUACUAGCCUCAUGGUACCUAACCCUCUCAACAAGCAUGCCACAGCACAGGCCUGCUCAUCACUGGAACAUUCUCCUCCAAAGUUUUCAUCUGAUUAUUUUAAACUUUGAACAUAGCCUCCUAAAUUUCUACCUCUCAGUCUCCAGUCUCAUUUCAUUUUAUCUUCCAUGUCAUAAACACCUCCACUACCUUAAUCCCUAUAUUUUCUUCCAAAUUAUCAACUUGCAUUGACCUUAUUUUCUUCUCUUUCCCCAGCAUUCCUUGUCCCUUUUCUUCAUCUGGGUAACUCCUCCUCAUGCACCAGACUUGCUUCUGGCCUUGCCUCUUUCAAGAAACUCUCUCUGGUGGCCCUUGGUGAGAUGUUAAUACAUCCUCUUGUCACCCCAUUGCUGUAUUCAGCCUUUUAUAAUACAAUUUCCUGUCAGUGUAUCUUUAUAGUCUACAAAAGAUAAGCUCAUCAAGGGGCAAAAUAUACCUUAUUCAUAUGCAAUACCAUGUCAAUAAAUGACUGUUAAUCUCUCACCUUGUGUAAAAAUUCUAUAAACAGCCUGGUCAGGGUCUGUAAAGCUGAAGGAUUUGCAGAGGAGAGAAAGUUUUCUGGAUCCUUGGAAAGUUAGAGCAUCCUAGGAGUAUUGUUAAGAUCCAAUAUGUCCAAACCUAUUCAGGUCUUUCUCUACAGGCUUAAAAUUCCAAAUGAGAGAACAAAAUACUUCUUCAUUCAGGAGCUGACAUAGGUGAAGAAGUUUACUUUCCAUUUCCCCUUUUGCCCACAGUGCAAUGCAACCACCAGCUUCUUGAAGACUUCUGUCUGUCUCAGGUUAAUCUUGGGUUUUUCUACAAUUGACAGUUGACAUGAACACUCAGCACAGGUACUGUGGGGUGCACAGCCACAUAAGAAAACAGUAGGUAGUUGAGUAUCUUAGGGGAAAUUUCAAAAUAUUAUUCACCCCAGUACUCUCGGUGAAUUACAUUAUGAGUCCAUCCUUCCUUCCUCUGCCAACUAGGAGUCUAUUCAUCCUUGAAGGUGUACGUCAAACUCUACUUCCAUGGCACACCUCUCACCCUAGAUUCAUUAAUAAAAAACAAAAAUUGAAAAUGACAGAGGUAUGCAAGAAUUCCUAUCCUGUCUUUUGGGUCCUUGAUGCCAUCCUUGUCCUUAUCACCAAUUUGGUACAGUUUUGUAGAUUUAAGAUACCAGAGAGACUACCACUACCCCAACACGUAUUCAUAUUUCAGCAUCAACCAGCACAGUAUCUACCAUGCUAUAGGUGUUCCAUAAAUAUUUAUCAGUUGGUUGAUAAAAAGAAUACACUAAUCACUGAUAUAAAAGGAAACAUCUCCCAGGAAGCUAAAGGUCAGAGAUUCUAGUAAACAGGACUGCCAUUUUUUAGAGUUAUCCUGGUCACCCAUGAAAAAAAAAACCUAUUUCUCGGAAGUAUUUGUUCAAGAACCACAUACUGAGUCAAAUGGUUGGCAGUGCUGGUUAAAUAGUAUCUAUGUCCUAACCUGGGUAACUGCAGGAUUUUUAUUAUUUGUGUGGUCUUUUUGUACUUUGCAAAUCACUUUUAUAUCCAUGACUUCAUUUAAUCUUUGUGACCGUCCUGGAAGUGGAUGGGGUAGAUGUUAUGAUUAAUGGAUGAAUAAACUGAGGCACAGAGAGGCCAGGAGACUUCAGCCCCAAAGUCUUCAUAAGAGAAAUGAAUAUGGGCAAGAUUGCAGUGCUGGCCCAGAGUGAUCCAGCAGCUUAGUAGGAUAAAUAAAAUUUACAUGCACCCAAAUAGAAGAGUGGAUAAAUGCUGAAACAGAGGUCUGACUAAAGUGUUAUGAAACACGAAUAGAGAUACAAAGACCAACUUCUCUGACAUGCGCUCUCUACCCCAAAAGAGGCCCUCAUCCAGAAGGGGCCUGAUUUCACAGGACCUGAGAAAGCACUCCAGCACGCAGACCUUCCCAAAUGCUGCAGGUUCUGAAGGGAUGAAAGGGGCCUUGAAUGUGUGCACUACAAUAAUUAUGUUUGUUUUAAUGGAGCAAUGAGUGCUUCUGUUGUGCUGUGGUGCAAAGGCCUAAUUAUUCAAACACAGCCAUUAGUUCCCACACAGCAAAGAUGACAGCAGAUGUUAUAAAGAUAGCAUCUCUUGGCCAUUUGCCCACCGGGCCCAGCCACAAGGACACUUCAAAAGCAAUAGCAGCUCCUGCCAGGAGCAUCCCACCACAUGUCCUAAGACAUCAGAGCCCAAAGUGGACUUGAGACAUCUGGAGGGAGAAAGGGGUCAACAUGGCAGUAACAGCCAUUCCUGCUACAGGUCUCAGGUAGAUGAGGCAGCAGCUGGGCCUGGUUAGAACUGAGUGAUCUGGGUUUCCUGGAGCCCUGUGUCCCACUGGCUGUUUUCACGCAGACAAGCAGCUCCCAUCAGGACACACAGCCUGUGUCAGGAACUCAUUUCAAACUUACAAAGCUGAAAGGAAAUCAUUCAUUUGACUGGAGAACAAGAUGUACCCAGAAACCCAUCCAAAUUCUUGCUGCCACCACCAGGAAAAAAUAUAUAUAUAACUAGCUGAAUUUGUGUGGUAUACUAUUGCUCAAACUUGAGUACUCAGAAGCAGGCACAGGCCUGCCUGCAUUUUUCCUAUCCCAGCCCUAUGAGUAACAGUUAGGAAAACACAAAGGGCUUUAAAAAGUUCAAAGAACUAAAAAAAAAAAAAAAGUGACUGCAUCAUUAUCACCACAAAACUGCUGAAUGUUUAGACUUCUAUAAACUGAAAUAAUUUUUAAGUUGAGAGACAAUCAGGGGUUAGUUUUUCUCUGCAUCAACCAUAGCAAGGAGAUUUCCUGGAAGUGGAAUCCCUUAAGGCUUUAGUCUCUUUGUUUCCUAUGCAUGCAUGUGCAUAAGUGCAUGCAAACACACAUACACAUCCCUGUCUCUAAUAAGCAAGCUGCCUGGAAACAAGAGACCUGGAAAGAAGGAGAGAGCUCUAAGGAAAUACUCCUCUUGAAAAGAUUUCUGCCACCUUGUUCCUGAAUCACAUUUCACUCUGGCUUUUCGUCUCACUUCCACCAAACCAUAGAAAGAAUAUCUCCCAGAAAAAUUGCAGUGUGAAGGGUUCUCAGUUUAAAAAUAAAAAAGUGGAAAAACUGCCAUAACAAUGAGGGAAACGACACUCCAUUCCUGCUAGGACAGACUCUGAACAGAGCAAAGAUCUGCCAUCAUGUGGAGACUUCUGAAGGAGUGGAAGGCGGAGGUGAAAAGUGCUAAGGUCCUACAGGAUGCCCCUCCACAGCAGCAUGUUGUUAAAAAGUCCUUUUUGGUGAAGGAUUUCCCAGGUCCAAUGCAUUGCUCUUCUUUUUUCCAUGUAGAAACGGAAAGAAAAAUCUAGCUAGGAAUGAAGUUAAAGAACUUGCUUUUUAGCUCAGGAGGAGGAAUAUGAACUCCAGAAAGACCCACAGAACUCAGAAGGGCUCUGGAAGUAUACGAUUAAAAAAAAAAAUAAGCAUACAGUAAAAACAUUAUAAAUAACAGUCGAAAUAUUAACUACAAGAAGUAGCAAUGAGCACAUUGGCAUGGCUGGCUUUGUACCAGCUGAAGCAGAGGAAGGUCAAUCAUGGCUCUUUACUAAGAACACAAAGAAUUUUACACAUCUGAAAAGAAUCUGGAGAUAGCACUUAAACAUAUAUUUUAACACUAAAGCAAUAAAAUACCAAGAAAUCACUAAGUGCCAUCCUGGGAGGUCAGGUUGAGUGGAGACAGUGGAGACCAUGUAAAUCAAAGGUUGGUCCUGUAGAUGAAAGUGGGGCCCAGGCAGCUCUCAGUCCUCGCAGCUCGCUUGUGGGUGUAGGACUGAGAAUCAAAUGAGGGAAGCUUCUGUUACUACUCCAUUUAACAGAUAAGGAAACUGGGGCCAAGUAACAGGUAAUUUAGCAAAUAAAUAGCACAGAAGAGCUCUGACCCACAGCUUGCCGUCUUCAGGCCCAGCACCCUCAACUUCUGCACAAAACAGCUUUGUGAACCAACGACCUCAGACCUGGAAUCACAAAUGGAAGAUGAACUAAUGGAACUAGGUGAGUCUUGGGUCUACAUUUGCAAAUACCUCCUAGAAAAGUGGCCUCCCUCUCUCACCCGGUCACGAUCUAUGUCCCAUGGCAUAGCUGGGAGCCCAGGGACAGGGUUGUGGGUGGGACGAUGCCACUGUCUUUAGUAGGUUGAUGCCCUGUGUGCAAAGAAAAGCUCAAAUCGCUAAUGCCACCCUACAAAGUCAGUACUUGAUUUCCCUGACAUGUUUCUUCUGAACAAAUACCAUAUUCUACAUUUUUCUCUUCACUUUCAACAGGAAAAACACUAAAGCAAAAGCAGGGUAGCUUUAGCUUCCACAGGCAGCAAUAUAGCAAUGGGUGACAUUGAGCUACAGAUUUUUUAAGACCUUGAUGAAAAGAGACUGAAAAAGAUGUUCCAACAAUCGACACAGCCCAUCCAGACUUGGUAUGUGGGUCCAACUGGCACUAUUCUUAAAGGCUGGAGUGCUCAGCCCCCAAGAAGCAGGACCCAAAUAAUCAUACAACUGCUCUUUAAGACCAAAGGCCAACCCAUGCUCCCGUGCAGGACGCAGGAUUCCUUUAGCAGAAAGGAAUAUUUUCCACUGUCGAUCUUUGUAGGAAGAGGCCAUUCUCAGAGUGGGUUGAAGUGAGGGAGCAUGUCUCCUUUGUGGGGCCAGCUAUCAGAACUGAGGUUUUCUGGGAUGGGGAGUAGGUGGAGGUUGAGAGGAGGCAGUAAACAAAGGGAUGGUGGUGUUUGGUGACACUUAUGGAGAGCACCCUGGCCAGGGUUCUUACCUAUCUUUGUGCACGCACUGCUUUUGCUUCUGUGAGGCCUCUAAACUGCCUUCUCAGAAUAACGUUAUAAUACACAAAAUUAAAUAUGAUUAAAGAAAAGCAAUUAUAUCGAAAGAGGUUGUAUCCAUACUCCCAUUGGUUAAGAACUCAUAAGGGAGCUCAAGUGAUCUAAAUUUCAGCAUAAAAAGUACAUGUGGAAGAAAAGGUAUUAUGUGGUCUGAUUUUGUAGUCUCAGUCUGUCAUAGGCCAUUUGGCUUGCCGCUUCUGAUAAAGGACACCUGGCUCCUACAGGAUUCGGGAGUCAGAGCAUCCGAGUCACACUACCAAAGCCACUUAGAUUCUGUAUCACACUGGAAUGCCAAAAGAUAGGCUCAAAAAACUAAUGAAGCUAUGAUCUCCAAGUACAAAGAUAUUUAUAUAGAAUCAUGUUUUUAAUAAAUUGUAUUGAAUAGGUUUGUUUUUAUAGGACAUUAACACAUUAUUAUUUUAUAUUGCUUUUCUUAUGAGAUACUCAAAUCAUAAAUAAACCCAAGGAUAUUCUCUCAGGGACAGAUAAAUAUAGGAUAUCCAGGAUUCGGUGUUAAUUUUGUUUUAUACAUCUUCAGAGUGGUGUUCUAAUGACAAACACCUGCUGUUACUUAGAAGUUUUGAAAUGGAACCUGAGAGCGGCCCUAUGCACCCUGGGGCCCCAGGGUCAAGAGGAAGCACAUUCAGCAGGCUCACGCACCUGCUUACCUUCUCCUGUGGAGCUCUACAUCCUGAGAAGGGCAUCCGCACAUUUGGAGGCACUGUCAUUACCCACAGAGCUAAGUACACAAGCAAGUCCGCGCCUGCCACUAGUUGCCUCCAGUAAUCAUAGACCCAGACACACGACUCUGGAGGAGCCAGGAGACAGCCAUCACCCACUUGCAGUCCGACAACCACCAUCAGGACCCUGGCAUGCCUUGACCCACCCCACUCCAUCCCCACCCCACCCUGAGUCCCAGGGUCCAGUCAAAGUGCCAGCCAGAAGGUGCAACCUCCUCUUCCCUACCUGUAGCCCUGGUCUUCACUCUCCACACUCUGUGGGCCACAGUCCUCUCUACCAUCACCACCCUAAUAUAUGAAGAUAUGAGAAAGGGAGCUGUGGAGAAGGGGCUGACCUAAUGUUCAAGGCCUUUCCUGGAUCCUAGCCAAGUGAGAGCUGAGGUCUCAUACAAUGGCUUCUCUGCAGCAGCUCUUUAAAAGAGGCUUUUGCAAUUUAUGGUAAUGUUUCUCGUUUUUAUAUUCAGUCAGUUCUUCCCAGGUUAACGGGCAGCUCUGAUUGCCGUGAAGCCCAAGGUCCAACGGUAAGUCACAGUGUGAACUCACUUCCUAGUAGCACCUGGGGAAGACCUGAACCAUUCUGAGCCUCCUCUGUAGCCAGGAGGGCAGUGCUGGCCCAAACUCUUCUUUACAUCUAGUUUUCAGAGCGUGCACAAGCCCACUUUUCUCCUUACUCCUUCAGCCUAUUUUCUCCUUACUGACUUCUCACACACAGUGGCUUCUGCUCUGUGGGGGAUUGCAUGAGGAUUUCUCUGCUCCUUUCAUGAGCCCCAAAGAUUUUUAUACCCAAGCAAACCCUUUGUAAGGUCUAUUCCAGUUCCUAGUCAAAGCAUCGGGGGUUCAUAUACUCAAGAACUUAGGAAGAAGUGCUGGAAGGAAAAAUCUCCAGAUAAUAAAGUCUAAGCAAUGUUUAAGCAUCAAACCCAUCACUUCUUUUCUUUUGGAGCUGCCAAAUGGAAAUAAUAUUCCGAAGGCAAGAGAAUAAAUUUCUCAUCUCUAUGAAAAUCAAGCUUCCAAGAAAGAGAAAAAGAAUAAUGAAAGAAAAGAAUCUAAGACCAGGUAAACUCAGGAAGAUAUUCUACCUUAUGCAUCUUAUUCUUCUGCAGAAUGCCAUCAUGUCAUCCACCUCUUCAGGAGAAGAAAGCCCUGCAGAGAAUGCUAACAUCUCAUUUUCCUAUUACUAAUUUUUACAAUGCAGGAGCAUUUGAUCAAGGCAGUCUUAACCAAGAGCUGGAAUGGAUGCUUAUCUCUGGCUCCUGACACUGUCCUGCAGGCUCACGGCCCCAGGUGAAGCCCAGACACCUGAGGUGCCUUUGAGUAGUGAAGACGCUAAUCCUUCCCUAAAACCGCAGCUCUAAAACCCUGGCAGAGUGCACUUGGCUUUAAAACAUUCUUUUGUAUGUCAAACCUCUGGCCUAUUGCUUUGAAAGGACACCCACACCAAGCUAUUUGUGGCAGUUCUUGUGGCUGAGCACUUUGCAAGACACUAAAGAAACUAAUCUCCUCCCCUCCCAAAAUACACAGGCAAAAGUGUGUGGAUAUGCUGCAAAGAACAUGGGAAUACAGGUACCUCUUCAAGAUCCUGAUAUCAGUUCUUUUGCAUAAAUACUCAGAUUUCUGGAUCAUAUCGUAAUUCUAUUUUUACUUGCGGAAAUGAUCUAAUAUUCAUCAACAGAUAAAGAAGUUCCAUACAGUGGAAUAUUUUUCAGCCUUGGAAAAGAUGAUCCUGGCAUAUGCAACAACAUAGACAAACUUUGAGGACACUAAGCUAAGUGAAAUAGGCCUGUCACAAAAAGACAAAUACUGCAUAAUUCCACUUAUUUGAUGUGUCUAAAGUCGUCAAACUCAUAGAGAAAGUAGACAGGUGGUUGCCAGGGUUUGGAGGAAGGGGAAAUGAGGAGUGUUCAAUGGGUAUAAAGUUUCAGUUGUGCAAGACGAAUAAGUUCCAGAAAUCUGCUGUACAACGUUGUACUUAUGGUUAACAAUAUGUACUGUAAACUUAAAAAUUUGUUAAGAGGGUAGAUCUCACGUUAUCUAUUCUUAUCACAAUUUUUUAAAAAAGCAAGCAUGUGGAAUGACAGCUCCCAGCAUUCCCUCUGCAGCCUUGUAGAACGUGAAGCCUUUGCUCACACCACAAACUCUGUCUGGAAGAUAAUUUUCUCCUCAAUCCUCUUCCUGCACCUGUGAGGUGAAUGGGCCCUAUUCCUCUGUUAUAAGGAGAAGGCCACUGAGGCUGUCAGAUGCUGCAUCUCGAAGACCCUUUCUCUGCCACAUCAUACUGAGCACAGCAAGCAUGCGUGGCAUCCUCCCUGUGGUUACAGACCCUCAGGUCCCUGGCUUGGGGAAGACGGUGUUAAUUUGUGAUGGUGGUUUUGAGGAGUAAAAGAGUUAUUUAUAUUAGUGUGGUAUGUACUUAGAACAGUAUCUAGUGUUAGCUAUUAUUUGUAUUGUCAUUAAUAUUAUAUCAUUUCUUAAAAACAUUUUCUCUGGUAUGUUUUGGUUCCCUUAGACACUAUUUCUAUAAGUUUAUGUUGUUUUCCAUAGGAAGGCUUGGUUAAUUCUAUGUUGGGCCUGAGUUUAAAUAAUCAAACUUCCUUUUUACUAGUCUCACUUAAAAACCACAGUCAUUGAAUGAAAUUUGUUGAAAUGUAGCAACUGCCCUGUGAAAUGGAUACUACAAGGGUGUGGUGACCCUGCAUGUAUCCUGGUGCCAAUACUUGUGUGUGAUUAUUUUAUUUGUUUUUGUGGUGUGUUUUGUUUCUGGCUGGAAGGGAGGUGGGUUUGAAGAGGUUAGCAAUCAGGAUUGUUUUCCAGGAGUCAUUCUUCUGGAACUGGAUCUUGUUCCUACAAAAGUUUCCAAGUUUCUCUUCCUAUUGCAGUAACUGGAAUGUAUAUUCUCUCUAUAUACAGAUCAAUUAAAGGAACCUACAGGAAUCACUAUGGUAGAGUCAGUCUGGGAACCCCAUUUACAGCAUGGGAACUGAGCAAUCAAGCUUUUCACAGUGACUGAAGCUGCAGGUUUAACAAUGCCAAGGAGGGAUGGGCCCAGUCUUCCCAUGAAUUCAUUAAUUGUGUUUAUUAUACAUAUUGUCUACCUAUGUCUUUGAGGAAUGGGAUCAAAAAGUAUGAGUGACAACAUCUUGAAUACAGAACUGUGGUUCCUGCUCAGUCCAGGUUAAAGGGAAUUCUGUUUCUGGCACAGCUACUGGGGUCCUAGCUCUUCCUAACAGUCUAACCAGCCCAGAGAAAAUCUAAGCAGUACAUUCCACCCUACUGGUGAAGCUUAAAGUCAAUUUUAUAAAUAUACAUAGAUCACCUAGAGAAAAAAGUAAUUUAAGUAGGGAGAAAAUUAUUUAUCUUUGUUUGAAAAAAAGUCCUGUAAAUAUUUAAAUCUGACUGUGGAAGACAGUUGCAUAAAUGAGUGGACGUGGCCAGGUUGCAGAGCAGCUAUGCUUCCCUGUCACUGCUCCAUUAGAGACUGAAGGGCUGCUUCCCAGCAUGACGAUAGCUCCCAUGGCCCCGAUACCUGGCCUGGUCCCAGAAGGAGUUUGGGAAGGGCCUGGCCCAGUUUGUGGGGAAAUCUCUGCCCCAGCAUUGGGAUUCUCCUUUGUCUAUCCUCCAGCAACAGCUACUGGAGUACAUCCCCUUCAGACACUAUUUGUUUAUCCAGUCUUUACUUCCUGUCAUUUGGACAGUCUCACAUAUAUAUGCAGACCAGCAGUGCCAUGCACUAGGGCUUUUGCACACAGACCCAAGUGGUCAUCUAAUUCAUAAUUAAGUAGCAAAUGCUUUAUAAGGGAGCAUAACAAAAAAAAAGUGCAUAUUGAAAGAACUAUUUUGUUCACUUCACUUGAAUUUCACUUGAAUAAUUACACUUGAAUAACUACACUUGAAUUUCACUUGAAUAAUUACAAAAUCCCCUAGAAAACUUGAAAAGUAGCCUACAGCCUCAAAGAUUCACACUAAGGUAAUGUUUUUUGUACUGUCUUCAUAUCUGUAUUUAUCCAUUGACUGGAAUUUACUCAAUAAUCACUACUUGAGUCCAAGGUCUACUUUUUAUUAUUAACCUCGUGGUUGGUUUUACCUGUGUUAACUGGUUUGAAUCCGGAUGACACUUUAUCAUAAUGAUAGACUAUAAUAAUUUUAGAUACAAAUUACCAAGAAUAAUACGUGUUAUUUUACAAGAAUUUAGAAGGGCCCAGUCCCGUCCCCAUACCCAUGGAAUUUACAAUCUACUUUUUGUGUAAUGCCAUGUUCACUGUCAAUAUACAACCCACAAUAUCUACUAUUAAUAAUUAGGUCAAUUAAUUGUCUCACUAUUGCAAUAUGUACACCUAUUUUGAUAUAUGUCAAAAAAAGUCACCACAUACAUUAUGAGUUUCAAAGGUAAUUCCAUGAAAAGGAAUCAAGUAACUGAUCUUGUUAGGAGCCACUGUCAACAUGUUCUUCAAGUAAAAUAUUACAACUUCUUAAAAGGCUUUUUCUAAAACUAUACUUAUAUUUAAUUUUAAUUGGUGAGCCAUUCACCAAACUCAAUUGGGUAAUUAACAAGUGGAAAAUACAUGUUUUGCCAACAGCAGUGGUGUGCUGAACAAGCUCAUAGUAGCUCCACAAGAAACACUUGUCAAAUUUUUAGAAGUUUUUUUUACCUGUUUGUUAACCUUUACCGUUUUAAAUAUUAAAUUAUAUAAACUUACAACUUCAUAAAUGAUAUUAAAUGCAAAAGUAAUAACUCACAGUUCAUCAAUUCCUAAACAUUUUAUCCCAUUUUACCAUGUCCUGUGCUCUUAAUCAUGUUGGUGUGGUGGAAGUAUGACGUGAUGGUGAGCUGACAUGCAACUAGUCCUAACUCCAUGUUCUGUCUAUCCCAUUGGUAGCACGAGAUGGGCCAUGGUAGGGGUAUUAUUGCCACAGAAAUCAGCAAACAUCACCAACCAGGGCUUGAUUUAUUGCUUUGUUGACUGCAUGGGCUUAAAAAAAUGAGGAAGAAAAUGUUUAUAAUGCAGAUUAAAUUUAAAAGUCUGUUGUGUAUAUAGCUGUUACAUUAUGAAAUAGGGCUCCAAAAUGAGGAAAUAUUCUUCCAGUGUACAAAACCUAUUAUCUGAUUUAGCAAAGAAGUCACUUACCUCACUGAAAGCACGUCAAAUUCCAACAUCCAUCUUCAUUGUUUACUUUCACCUUACUCGCUAGCAUAAUUAUGAAAAUAUCAACCCAUAGUCAUGUCAGAAUCACAUUUGUACAUCUGCUGCAGUGCUAGGUUGGCUACAGAUAGGAGAUUUCAGCAAAAA